UAGGGAAUCUUCGGCAAUAGGGGGAACCCUGACCGAGCAACGCCGCGUGAGUGAAGAAGGUUUUCGGAUCGUAAAGCUCUGUUGUUAAGGAAGAACGAGUGUGAGAAUGGAAAGUUCAUGCUGUGACGGUACUUAACCAGAAAGGGACGGCUAACUACGUGCCAGCAGCCGCGGUAAUACGUAGGUCCCGAGCGUUGUCCGGAUUUAUUGGGCGUAAAGCGAGCGCAGGCGGUUAGAAAAGUCUGAAGUGAAAGGCAGUGGCUCAACCAUUGUAGGCUUUGGAAACUGUUGAACUUGAGUGCAGAAGAGGAGAGUGGAAUUCCAUGUGUAGCGGUGAAAUGCGUAGAUAUAUGGAGGAACACCGGUGGCGAAAGCGGCUCGCUGGUCUGUAACUGACGCUGAGGCUCGAAAGCGUGGGGAGCGAACAGG
rnacentral:rRNA from 1 species